CAACCUUUGACAGAAACACGGCGACGUCUACGGUGGGGAUAAGAUCGAAACCAAAGGACGACGCUCUGAUUCAGUCCGAUAUGAUGGAGGAGAAGAUGACGGUCAACCCUGUCCAAGGCUUUUCAAAGGUCAGUGAAAGGUCAAUCAGAGGUCAGUGAAAGGUCAGUGAAAAUGUCACCUGUAAGUUGGGGUCAAACGCUGAAAACAAAUCUUUGUGAAUUUAAG